UACGUAGGGGGCUAGCGUUGUCCGGAAUCACUGGGCGUAAAGGGCGCGUAGGCGGCCUGGUAAGUAGGGGGUGAAAUCCUGCGGCUUAACCGCAGGGCUGCCUUCUAAACUGUCAGGCUCGAGCACGGUAGAGGCAGAUGAAAUUCCCGGUGUAGCGGUGGAAUGCGUAGAGAUCGGGAAGAACAUCAGUGGCGAAGGCGGUCUGCUGGGCCGUUGCUGACGCUGAGGCGCGACAGCGUGGGGAGCAAACAGGGAUUACGAAACCC
rnacentral:rRNA from 1 species